UAUAUGUAAGGUCAAUCCAGCUUUAUACAUGGAAGACAAACAAUAAAAAAGAAAAAGUAAGUGGACACAUGUUAAUUAACUCACUUCUAGCUGGCUAAUUGCUUGUGGAUGAUAUUAGGGCAGUUUUGGGGG